rnacentral:rRNA from 1 species
UUAAGUUAUUAAGGGCGCACGGUGGAUGCCUUGGCACUAGAAGCCGAUGAAGGACGUUACUAACGACGAUAUGCUUUGGGGAGCUGUAAGUAAGCUUUGAUCCAGAGAUUUCCGAAUGGGGAAACCCAGCAUGAGUUAUGUCAUGUUAUCGAUAUGUGAAUACAUAGCAUAUCAGAAGGCACACCCGGAGAACUGAAACAUCUUAGUACCCGGAGGAAGAGAAAGAAAAUUCGAUUCCCUUAGUAGCGGCGAGCGAAACGGGAAGAGCCCAAACCAACAAGCUUGCUUGUUGGGGUUGUAGGACACUCUGUACGGAGUUACAAAGGACGACAUUAGACGAAUCAUCUGGAAAGAUGAAUCAAAGAAGGUAAUAAUCCUGUAGUCGAAAAUGUUGUCUCUCUUGAGUGGAUCCUGAGUACGACGGAGCACGUGAAAUUCCGUCGGAAUCUGGGAGGACCAUCUCCUAAGGCUAAAUACUCUCUAGUGACCGAUAGUGAACCAGUACCGUGAGGGAAAGGUGAAAAGCACCCCGGAAGGGGAGUGAAAUAGAACCUGAAACCGUGUGCUUACAAGUAGUCAGAGCCCAUUAAUGGGUGAUGGCGUGCCUUUUGUAGAAUGAACCGGCGAGUUACGAUUUGAUGCAAGGUUAAGCAGUAAAUGUGGAGCCGUAGCGAAAGCGAGUCUGAAUAGGGCGUUUAGUAUUUGGUCGUAGACCCGAAACCAGGUGAUCUACCCUUGGUCAGGUUGAAGUUCAGGUAACACUGAAUGGAGGACCGAACCGACUUACGUUGAAAAGUGAGCGGAUGAACUGAGGGUAGCGGAGAAAUUCCAAUCGAACCUGGAGAUAGCUGGUUCUCUCCGAAAUAGCUUUAGGGCUAGCCUCAAGUGAUGAUUAUUGGAGGUAGAGCACUGUUUGGACGAGGGGCCCCUCUCGGGUUACCGAAUUCAGACAAACUCCGAAUGCCAAUUAAUUUAACUUGGGAGUCAGAACAUGGGUGAUAAGGUCCGUGUUCGAAAGGGAAACAGCCCAGACCACCAGCUAAGGUCCCAAAAUAUAUGUUAAGUGGAAAAGGAUGUGGCGUUGCCCAGACAACUAGGAUGUUGGCUUAGAAGCAGCCAUCAUUUAAAGAGUGCGUAAUAGCUCACUAGUCGAGUGACACUGCGCCGAAAAUGUACCGGGGCUAAACAUAUUACCGAAGCUGUGGAUUGUCCUUUGGACAAUGGUAGGAGAGCGUUCUAAGGGCGUUGAAGCAUGAUCGUAAGGACAUGUGGAGCGCUUAGAAGUGAGAAUGCCGGUGUGAGUAGCGAAAGACGGGUGAGAAUCCCGUCCACCGAUUGACUAAGGUUUCCAGAGGAAGGCUCGUCCGCUCUGGGUUAGUCGGGUCCUAAGCUGAGGCCGACAGGCGUAGGCGAUGGAUAACAGGUUGAUAUUCCUGUACCACCUAUAAUCGUUUUAAUCGAUGGGGGGACGCAGUAGGAUAGGCGAAGCGUGCGAUUGGAUUGCACGUCUAAGCAGUAAGGCUGAGUAUUAGGCAAAUCCGGUACUCGUUAAGGCUGAGCUGUGAUGGGGAGAAGACAUUGUGUCUUCGAGUCGUUGAUUUCACACUGCCGAGAAAAGCCUCUAGAUAGAAAAUAGGUGCCCGUACCGCAAACCGACACAGGUAGUCAAGAUGAGAAUUCUAAGGUGAGCGAGCGAACUCUCGUUAAGGAACUCGGCAAAAUGACCCCGUAACUUCGGGAGAAGGGGUGCUCUUUAGGGUUAACGCCCAGAAGAGCCGCAGUGAAUAGGCCCAAGCGACUGUUUAUCAAAAACACAGGUCUCUGCUAAACCGUAAGGUGAUGUAUAGGGGCUGACGCCUGCCCGGUGCUGGAAGGUUAAGAGGAGUGGUUAGCUUCUGCGAAGCUACGAAUCGAAGCCCCAGUAAACGGCGGCCGUAACUAUAACGGUCCUAAGGUAGCGAAAUUCCUUGUCGGGUAAGUUCCGACCCGCACGAAAGGCGUAACGAUUUGGGCACUGUCUCAACGAGAGACUCGGUGAAAUCAUAGUACCUGUGAAGAUGCAGGUUACCCGCGACAGGACGGAAAGACCCCGUGGAGCUUUACUGUAGCCUGAUAUUGAAAUUCGGCACAGCUUGUACAGGAUAGGUAGGAGCCUUUGAAACGUGAGCGCUAGCUUACGUGGAGGCGCUGGUGGGAUACUACCCUAGCUGUGUUGGCUUUCUAACCCGCACCACUUAUCGUGGUGGGAGACAGUGUCAGGCGGGCAGUUUGACUGGGGCGGUCGCCUCCUAAAAGGUAACGGAGGCGCUCAAAGGUUCCCUCAGAAUGGUUGGAAAUCAUUCAUAGAGUGUAAAGGCAUAAGGGAGCUUGACUGCGAGACCUACAAGUCGAGCAGGGUCGAAAGACGGACUUAGUGAUCCGGUGGUUCCGCAUGGAAGGGCCAUCGCUCAACGGAUAAAAGCUACCCCGGGGAUAACAGGCUUAUCUCCCCCAAGAGUUCACAUCGACGGGGAGGUUUGGCACCUCGAUGUCGGCUCAUCGCAUCCUGGGGCUGUAGUCGGUCCCAAGGGUUGGGCUGUUCGCCCAUUAAAGCGGUACGCGAGCUGGGUUCAGAACGUCGUGAGACAGUUCGGUCCCUAUCCGUCGUGGGCGUAGGAAAUUUGAGAGGAGCUGUCCUUAGUACGAGAGGACCGGGAUGGACAUACCUCUGGUGUACCAGUUGUCGUGCCAACGGCAUAGCUGGGUAGCUAUGUGUGGACGGGAUAAGUGCUGAAAGCAUCUAAGCAUGAAGCCCCCCUCAAGAUGAGAUUUCCCAACUUCGGUUAUAAGAUCCCUCAAAGAUGAUGAGGUUAAUAGGUUCGAGGUGGAAGCAUGGUGACAUGUGGAGCUGACGAAUACUAAUCGAUCGAAGACUUAAUCAA